AUUGAUGGAUUACCGCCAAACUUGGGUCAUGUAUGUCUCUUGCAAAGCCAAUAAACUGAUUAGAUUUUGGAGUCAGGUCACAGGGCUCAUUUUGUAUGCAAAAUUAGCUUGUGAUCAAAUGCAUUGUCAAUAGAACCGACAGAUGGAUUACUAUCAAACUCAGGACAUGUACGUAAUCUUGCAGAGCCAAUAAACUGAUUAGUUUUAGGGUCAUGAGGUCAAAGAUCAAAGGGUCAUACAUGUAUAUGAAAAAUAGCUUGUAAUCACGAUAUUAAUUAACGAUGUUAAUGGAUAUUAAUCAAACUUGAAUUUUCUAAAUUGCUUCUGUUUUGGUUUGUAAAAUCACUCUAUGAAGAUCCAUCUAGUUAUUGAUUCGUAUCGAUCUCAAGUCUCUGAAUCGGUCACAAACUUAACAAACUCUUUUUUUUUUUAAAUAGAUUUAUGAUUCUGUUCUGAAUAAAAGGGGUUCCAUGUGGCUGCACUAUAUUCAACACAUGUGUUUCUUCACAUACUUAUAUAAAGAGAUACUGCAAGUUUAAAUACAUUCUCAAUUACAGGGUAUAAACAUAGAGCUGCAUUUCUUAGACUACUCGACGCAUCGGCUUGAAAUAUGGCCUGCACGGACCAACGGAACUCAAGUCCGACUUGGGUUCCAUGCUUUAUGUUUUAUGUUAUUCUGUAUUAUCUUCUUGCCCCUUCUCCGAUGGCUCAUAAAAUGCAGGGUAAAGUUUGUGAUUUAUACCCCUACCCCAAAGAGCGAGAGAUAGUAAAGAGGAAGGGAAGAGUGGAGAGAAGUGGAUGAAAGAGGGUGGACAGAGCUGUUCACAAAUUAUUUUGUAGAUGAUUGGCAGUCCUAAGAACCAAGUCCAAGUCCAUCCUAGAUGGUUCCUACCCUUUAGACUGAAGGCUCCAUAAGCAACGUCCUGGUGAUGUAAAUGAAAAGGGUCUGACAGUGAUAGACACAACGCUCAUUCCUGUAUGCACUACAAUAUAAAGAUAAUUAAAACAUUUUGUUGCAUAAAAUGUGCAUUGUGAUAGUGCACUGUAUCAGUGUAAAAUUGUAUACUGCGAUGAAAUACAAAAUUAGAAAUGCCUCUGCAGUGCACCCAUGAGCAACGUCUGCAUUGUGUUGCAUUUGUACUCAAUUUGACUUGAGUCCAAGUCUAAAUACAUUGUGCUACAACACUGGUGAUUGGUACACUUUAUAAAGCUGCAAUCAAUUUUCAUAAAUUGCAACUCUUUAUAAGAUGGAGCCUAGGUUUAUGAGAGUUGGGUAUGAAUCAGUGUAACUGGAGGUACAAAAUGGGAGAAAAGAGAGAAAAGGAGAAAGAGGGGGAGAUAGUAAAGAGAAGGGGAAGAGAAGAGAGAAGUGGAGGAAAAAGGGUGGACAAGGAAUGCAGAAGGUUGAGUAUGCAGAUUAUAUGGAUAGGCAAUACAAAAAUCACAACACACCACCACCACCACAUAGACAGAAAAGUCUAGAAUUAAUUUCAAUGUACUAAUUAGUUCUCAGCAGAUGAACAGUCCAACUCCAUUCCAUACAAGAUACAACACUCAAAAAUGUAUCAACACUACAAUUAUAUUUACAAAUAAACCAAUUUAUUCAUACAUAUAUAUAUAUACACAGUGGAAUCAACAAGGCUCAAUGUAACAGAUAAAAGCAUUAAUUUUUGUACAUAUUUACAUCUAAUGAACAAUGCUACUGCUCUUGAUCAAAUCACAGUUAAACAAGGUGCAUAUCAGUAUCUAUGUUGGGUCAGAGUGGUAUAAAUUAUUUUUUUAGAGUCAUAUUUUUUUCUUCAUUUUCUGCUUGCAACCUCACUGACUAUGUUUUGAAGGAUUGUGAAAGAUUAGGGACAAAGGGUUGUCACUUUGAUAUCCAAUAAAAAAACAAAUAAAUAAUACAGAUGAAUGCGACUGCAUCUCCAAUAUGCACAAUCAAAUCAGUUUAUCCUUUACUGUAUAGCAAGGUACUAUUAUUAUUAUUAUCACAAUUGUUCAGUUUGUUGAUUGCUUAUGACAUAUCUUUUGCUAUAUGCACAACUCGCUGUAUAAAGCUAUCAUAAAAAAUCAGGUCUUGCCUCUUUGAAAAUUUCAAUUAUUCAAAUUUAGUGAGAUAUAUCUUCUAAGUAGGCCAUACAGAUUUAUCAGAACCAGAAACAGUUCACGAUGUGAGACCAAAAGAGGUUGGUAUACAAGGUGUUUCAUGAAUAAAUUAGAUAUUCUUUAGCAGCACUGAUUUAAUUUGCCGUUUGUUUUCCCUAAAGGUUCACACUUCCGAAGGUACAUUACUAGGAAGGUUUGUAACUCUGAAGGUUCACACUUCCGAAGGUACAUUACUAGGAAGGUUUGUAACUCUCAAGGUUCACACUUCCGAAGGUACAUUACUAGGAAGGUUUGUAACUCUCAAGG